rnacentral:rRNA from 1 species
AUGGCCAGCAACUCCGGCUCUGAAGUUAAUCAAGGCCAGCUACCCAAGACAUCGUCCAGAUGCUUGACGGAGAGCUUCACCACGCAGCAUGAUUUCGAGGUGACCAGUUGCCGGUUGCUUGAUGGCAUCGGUGUCACCAAGUACGUUCUCUCAAGCCACUUCAGCGUCGCUGGCUUUGAAUGGUUUAUCAGUUUCUUCCCGGAUGGGUGGACUCUGGACUAUGCUGGCCAUGCGUCGGCCUUUCUGCAACGUGUCAUCCGAGCGAACGACACGCAUUGUGUGAGGACUAAGUUCACCUUAAACAAGCUGGAGAAAGACAGCGAAGCCCAAGUAACCACAUUCGAUGAGAUAGACCAUGUCUUUUGGGGGGCAAACCCAUUUAAUGGCCACGCAAAAUUCGUUGAGAAAUCGAAGCUGAAAUCAUUGUCGUGGUCCAACAAUGGCUACUUGAUUAUACGCUGUGUUCUCACCGUGAUAAAAGAAUCUCGCACGGAGGUUAAGAGGAACACUGUUGCGGUUCCGCAACCGAAUCUACAAGACCAGCUCCGGCAACUGCGGAAGGAUGGACAGGGAGCAGAUGUGACAUUCAGCGUGGGUGGCCAAUUAUUCAAAGCUCACGGAUGCUUGUUGGCUGCACGGUCUCUGGUUUUCAAGGCGGAGCUCUUUGGUCCGAUGAAGGAGAAAGAAACACAGUGCAUUAAAAUCGACGACAUCGACCCUGAAAUAUUUGAGGCGCUUCUCCACUUCAUAUACACAGAUUCCAUGCUAGUCGAUGAGCACUGCAAAGAAAGCAAACCUGCAAAACUGCAGCAUCUGCUAGUUGCCUCGGAUCGAUAUGGAUUGGAUAGGCUAAAGGUGAUGUGUGAAAGUAAAUUGUCUGAGUGCAUUGACGUAGAGACUGUUGCAACAACACUGGUUUUGGCAGAGCAACACCACUGCAAGGAUCUCAAAGAAGCUUGUGUUGAGUUUAUGGCUCCACGGAAUGUUCUGCAAGCUGCCAUGGCAACAGAUGGUUUCAAGCAUUUGGUAGCAAGCUGCCCUUUUGUCAUGAAGGAGUUAUUAGACAUGGUGUCCCGUAGUGGCUAG